GCUGGGGUAGCUCGGUGCUGGGCAACCUGGCCCCGCAGCACCAUGAAAUCAGGCCACCUCCUCCUGGGGCUCCUCGCCCUCUGGGCUGACCUGACACCUGCCUCUGGGCAGCUCCAUGAAGCUAACGACAUCUGCAAUCUCCCUGCGGACCCCGGCCCAUGUUUAGCCUACAUGCCCAGAUACUUCUACAACUCGGCCACCAAGAGGUGCGAGGAGUUCAUUUACGGCGGCUGCCAGGGCAAUGCAAACAGAUUUUCCAGUAUGGACGAAUGUCUCAAGACCUGUGGAAGCUCAGUGAAAACGGGCAAGUGCCCCACUCCCAUCAACGUGGGGGCUGCGAACUGCGAUAACUUCUGCUCCACGGACGCUGACUGUCCCGGAUCUGAGCGCUGCUGCAGUAACGGCUGUGGGACGGAGUGCAGACUCCCCAUAGGAGUAAACCCAGGGUACUGCCAGGAGGCCCCACCCGGCACGGUGACAAUCUGCCUUGUGGAAUGCAGUAACGACAGGGAAUGUGGAACGGGCAACAAGUGCUGCAGCUGGGGAUGCCACGUGCACUGCGCACGGGCGGUGCCAGCCAAACCCGGCACCUGCCCCAAGAGGAGGGUGCUGCAGACGUUCGCGCCGUGUGAGAAUAAGUGCAGUGACGACAGGGACUGUCCCACCAGGCAGAAAUGCUGCUUUACUGGCUGUGGCCUCGGCUGUCUGGCCCCUCUGUAAGGUUUGAGGCCUUUUUCUGCAGCCACAUUAGGACAGUGACCGACAUUCCAACUAAAUUACAUUAAAACACUGUAAUAUCAGGCUGUUAAGAAAGAGAUCCUGUCCUAAUAGACCCACUAUCACCAGAUAAAGAAACAGAUCUUAAGAUGGCCAAAGAAAACUUGGUUUGAUAGCGUUCUCUCUGGCAAGGAAUCACUUAUCAACAUUUGUGAUUGUAAAAUCUAUACUUCUAUUGGUUUGCCUUUAUGGUUCCUACUUCUCUAUUGUUUAUCUGUCUGGUUCUUUGUUUCUGUCUGUUGCAUAACUAAUUUUGCAAGACUUAAAUCAACUAAGGCGGUGGGGUAUGAUUGGGUAAAGAAUUGUUUCACAAUAUGUUGUGAUUGGUCAAAGAAUUAUUUCACAAUACUUUAGUACAAUGAUUGGUUAAGGUAUAGCUAAGCAGGACUCCAGUUACACUAGAUGUACUGGGGUCCAAGAAUGAGACCAGGUGGGGGGGAAAAAAGAAGAAGCAGAAGAAGGAAAGACCUGAAAAAAGAAGAAGAACUCAUCCCCAAGACUCAGCCUAAGAUAAGAGCUGCUAAGAAUCCUCUGCCCGACUGUGACAUGCAGCAACCAGAAUCCAGAUGAGACUGCCCUUGCCUGGCCACCAGGGGAAGUCCGCCUGCGUGAUCAGGAUUGGUGACAUUUGCCGACUCCUACCUCCUAUCCCUCGCUUCUACAACCCGGCCUCCGGGACGGGCCACAGAUUCUAUUACGGCGGCUGCCAGGGCAACGAGAACGACUCUCCCGGCUGGGCACAGCGUUAGAAGUAACGCUACUGUGAGCGGGACUGGACCCCAGGAGCGCAGGAAGGAGCCCGGAUCCAGGGUGGGAAAUGGGACUAAAUAGCUUGCUCGUUCUGGGGGCUGGAUUCUAGCCCUGCUGCGGGAGGUCAGGGUUGGGGAGACAAUCACGAAAAUCAGUUAAAAAAUUAUUCGGCAUAUGAAUCUGUGCCACAAGUCUUCAUAAACAGCCCUGGCUGUACCUUGAAGGAGCCCGGCAUGGAAUGGCCAUGAGCAGUCAUAUGCACGUGUCGAUUGAGGGUUUACAUACACAGUCCGUAACUGUUAGCAUUGGGGUUUGCAGUUGCACAUACGUUUUGUCUGCCUAACCUUAGUUUCUGAAAAUCCGGCCCUAACCGUUCUUCAACUAAUAUGUAAAUGACGUGACCAUUAAGAAACGGGUUUUCAUGGGGUUCGGAUACGCACACAGCUCUCACGCCCUGAGCCCCAUCUCCCACCCCAGCUGGAGACUGGGUCCCAGUUAGAUUUGAACGUGGAGGCUGAGAUCCUUCAGGGAGUUCUCCCUUUUCUCCGAACCUGCCUCUCCGUGCUCUGUAGCUAAAGUGACCGCACGGCCCAUGUUCAGCCCGCAGUCACAGCUACUUCUACGACUCAGUCACCAAGACGUGUGACGAGUUCAUUUAUGGCGGCUGCCAGGGCAAUGGGAACAAUUGGGCACUGGAGACGACUGUCUCAGGACCUGUGGAGGAGCCGGGAGGCUGUGUCUACACUACCACUUUUGCCGGUAUAAUUUAUGUUAUUCAGAAGUGUGAAGAAACACCCCCCUGAGCGAGAUCAGUGUCACUGACAGAAGUGCCAGUGUGGACAGUGCUAUGUUGCAGGAGAUGUCCCACCGCCGUAGUUCCCGCCACGCGUUGGGGAUGGUUAAUUGUGCCAACGGCAGAGCUCUCUCCUGUCGGCCCAGAGCAGCUCCACGAGCGAUCUGACAGCGGCACAGCUGCGUUGGUACAGCUGUGCUGCUGUAAGUUGCCGGGGUAGACGUGGCCUUAGGUGGGUCAUGACUGCCCAGGUCAGAGGGACAGUGCUGGAAAUACACUAGGGGCUGUUCUCGUAGCGCUGAAGGAGAGUCUGCGACACUGUUUGCGAUGGGAAAUGGACUAAAUACAAGGUCCCCUUGCUAGUUCUGGCAGUCAAAUCCCACCUGUGCCGCUGCCAGCAGUGCCCCCAGAAUGUGAGAACCAGCCUCGGGGCACUGCUAGGAACCAGAGCACAAACCCAAACUGGCUGUGAGUUCUGCACCUAGGUGUCACCAACCAGUUAUUAAGUGUGAACUCCUCAGACACUGUGACGAAGUGGGACUGUUCUUAAUGUUUCCUCUGAAUACUGUGUGGGUGCCUCAGUUUCCCCUAUGCAUUUCUUAAGUCUCCAGUGUGCAUAA